rnacentral:rRNA from 1 species
CGAACGAAGCGCCUGCGGCGGACCCCUCCGGGGGCAUAGCCGCAGGGGACUGAGUGGCGGACGGGUGAGCAACGCGUGGGCAACCUGCCCCGUACCGGGGGACAACAGCCGGAAACGGCUGCUAAUACCGCAUAUUCCCGCGGGGCCGCAUGGCCCUGCGGGGAAAGCUCCGGCAGUACGGGAUGGGCCCGCGUCUGAUUAGCUUGUUGGCGGGGUAACGGCCCACCAAGGCUGCGAUCAGUAGCCGGCCUGAGAGGGCGGCCGGCCACAUUGGGACUGAGACACGGCCCAGACUCCUGCGGGAGGCAGCAGUGGGGGAUAUUGCACAAUGGGGGGAACCCUGAUGCAGCGACGCCGCGUGAACGAAGAAAUAUUUCGGUAUGUAAAGUUCUAUCAGCAGGGAAGAAAAUGACAGUACCUGACCAAGAAGCCCCGGCUAACUACGUGCCAGCAGCCGCGGUAAUACGUAGGGGGCGAGCGUUAUCCGGAUUCACUGGGCGUAAAGGGAGCGCAGGCGGCACGGCAAGUCCGGUGUGAAAGCCCGGGGCCCAACCCCGGGACUGCACUGGAAACUGCCGGGCUGGAGUGUCGGAGGGGCAGGCGGAAUUCCUAGUGUAGCGGUGAAAUGCGUAGAUAUUAGGAGGAACACCGGUGGCGAAGGCGGCCUGCUGGACGACGACUGACGCUGAGGCUCGAAAGCGUGGGG